UUUAAUGAGAGUUUGAUCCUGGCUCAGGACGAACGCUGGCGGCGUGCCUAAUACAUGCAAGUAGAACGCUGAAGGAGGAGCUUGCUUCUCUGGAUGAGUUGCGAACGGGUGAGUAACGCGUAGGUAACCUGCCUGGUAGCGGGGGAUGACUAUUGGAAACGAUAGCUAAUACCGCAUAACAAUGGGUGACUCAUGUCA
rnacentral:rRNA from 1 species